rnacentral:rRNA from 1 species
AGAGAUGUGUGAUGACGCAUAUCAAUAAGCGGAGGAAAAGAAACUAACAAGGAUUCCCUUAGUAACGGCGAGUGAAGCGGGAAGAGCUCAAAUUUGAAAUCUUCAAGGUUUUACCUUGACGAAUUGUAGUUUAAAGAAGUGUUUUCUGUUGGAGUUUCGGUAAAAGUUCUUUGGAAUAGGACAUCAUAGAGGGUGAGAAUCCCGUAUUUGACCGUUACUUUCCAGCUGUGUGAUACACUUUCAAAGAGUCGGAUUGUUUGGGAAUGCAGUCCAAGAUGGGUGGUAAAUUUCAUCUAAAGCUAAAUAUUGGCGAGAGACCGAUAGCGAACAAGUACCGUGAGGGAAAGAUGAAAAGAACUUUGAAAAGAGAGUUAAACAGUACGUGAAAUUGUCAAAAGGGAAGCGUUUGACACCAGUGUUGUUUAGUUGAAAAUCAAUUCAAUAGUUUUUGAUUCUAAGUAGUAUUGACUUCAUCAGCUUGCUGCUUUCUUCUCAGAAAUUAUUGAAUGCACUUUUCAGUUAACAAGUCAACAUCAAUUUCUUUUGUUGUAAAAGGGUAAGAGGAAGGUGGCUUGCGCUUCGGCUCAAGUGUUUAUAGCCUUUUAUCUCUGCAAUCGGAGAGAUUGAGGUCUGCAGCGUAGAUCCUUCGGGGUUAGAUACAUUGGUGCUAAGCUAUAGCCUUGUAUAGACAACUUGUUGACUAUGAUCAGUCAUGUAGCUUACUCGCUUAUGCUAUUUUACCUACGCUUAGGAUGUUGACGCAUGAGAUAUACGC